UACGUAGGGCGCAAGCGUUGUCCGGAAUUAUUGGGCGUAAAGAGCUCGUAGGCGGCUUGUCACGUCGGGUGUGAAAGCCCGGGGCUUAACCCCGGGUCUGCAUUCGAUACGGGCAGGCUAGAGUGUGGUAGGGGAGAUCGGAAUUCCUGGUGUAGCGGUGAAAUGCGCAGAUAUCAGGAGGAACACCGGGGGCGAAGGCGGAUCUCUGGGCCAUUACUGACGCUGAGGAGCGAAAGCCAGGGGAGCGAACGGG
rnacentral:rRNA from 1 species